CUAGUAUCGAGUCAAUAUGCUGAUGUAAGGGGUGAUGUGAAUGGUGAUAGUGAAGAAAUGGCAUUGCUAAGUCUCCAACCAAAUUCUAGUCUUAAAGAGUUAAAGUUGUUUCAGUAUGGAGGCAGGAGUUUCCCAAGUUGGCUUCCUUCCCUCACUAAUCUUGUCGAUAUCCUGUUAGUGCGUUGUAUAAGUUGCAAGCAUCUCCCAGCAAUGGAUAAAAUCCAUUCUCUUCGAAAGUUAGAUAUUUGUAUUCUAGAUGAUUUAGAAUACAUAAAAAUUGAGGGACACGGAACAUCAUUAUUUCCAUCUCUGAAGUAUCUCAUUAUAAAGUAUUGUCCCAAGCUAAAAGCAAGGCAGAAGAAAAUGCAUGAUUCAACAGCUGAGCUACCCCAAUUUCCGUGUCUUUCCCAGUUCAUUUGUCAUAAUUGCCCUAAAUUGAGUUGGAUCCCUCAGUUUCCAUCUCUUGAAGAAGGAUUAGAACUGAACAAUGUAAGCUUGCAACUUGUACAGAAAAUAUUCACAACAUCAAUCUCUUCUUCCUCAACCGUUCCUCCUUUCUCUCAAUUGAAGACGCUUACGUUUUCUCAAUUAGCAGUUGAAUCUCUACAGCCAUAUGGACUGCAGAAUCUCACUUCUCUUCAGCAAAUAAGAAUAACUGAUUGUCCAGGAUUAAAGUCUCUACCUCAGGAGAUGCAUUCCCUCACCUCUUUACGAGAAUUGCAAAUUCAUGGAUGUCCCAUAUUGAGGAAAAGAUGUGGAAAUAAAAAUGGUGAGGAUUGGCCUUCAGUUGCUCACAUCUCAAAUAUUCGUGUCCAAGACAGAGAUAUUCAAUUGGAGGGCCACUAUCAACUAGAGGACGAAGCAUCUGACAUACAGGAAAGUGAUGAAGAUAGAAACGCAGGAUUACAGUAUGUAUUGUGAAAUUCUAAUAGAUGGGAAAGUGGUGAACAAUUACAAAGGAUGCUGAAUCCAUUGGAAAUGAAGAUUUUAGAAUAUCCCAAGAAGCCCAUGAAGACUCCAGCAUGAUCUUUAUGCUUGUGCUAGCCUUAUUUUUUUAUUUAUGAAAUAAUAAGAUGCUGGCAGGUAGGAUGGUUUUCAUGGACAAAGUAUUGCCUCAGACUGCUUGAUUCUUUUGUCCAUCAAAAUUUUACAAGUCGAAUAUGAGAAUCAAGCACAAGGACAAUGCAGACAUAACAUCCAUCCAAAUAUGGAACAGAAACAGAAGAAUUAUAUAUGCAGUAAUUGUUAGCUUUUGUCAUUUUAUUUUACAAAGUUAAUUCCUCAUAUUAUCCUUUUUCAGGAAAUUUUUUUGUGGCUUGUGUUCUUCAUAAGUACAAUAAUUAUGAAUAUGAAUUUUGAAUGAUUUUGACUGGAAUUUCAGGUCCCCCAUACACUGGUUCAUUGAGUUUCAGAAAUCACAGGGUUACUGUUGUUACAUAUUUCUGAAAUUCUAAUAAAUUGGGAAGUGGUGAACAAAUGCAACUCAACUCAACUCAACUAAGCCUUUAUCCCAAAAAUUUGGGGUCGGCUAUAUGGAUUCGCUUUUUCCAUUCUGAACGAUUUUGGGUUAAAUCCUCAGAAAUGUGUAAUGCUUCUAAGUCAUGUUGUACUACUCUCCUCCAAGUUAAUUUAGGUCUACCCAUUUUUUUCUUUCUAUCCUCUAACCUAAUGUGCUCUACUUGUCUAACUGGAGCCUCCGUAUGUCUACACUUCACAUGACCAAACCACCUCAAUCUCCCUUCUCUCAACUUAUCUUCAAUUGGCACCACUCCUACCUUUUCUCUGAUACUCUCAUUACGGACUUUAUCUAGUCUAGUAUGGCCACUCAUCCACCUUAACAUUCUCAUCUCUGCAACUCUUAUCUUAGAUGCAUACGACUCUUUCAAAGGCCCAACACUCACUACCAUAUAACAUAGCCGGUCGUAUGGCUACGGUAAAAUUUUCCUUUUAAUUUAUUGGGAAUCUUACGAUCACAUAAAACUCCCGUGGCACGUCUCCACUUCAACCAUCCGGCUUUAAUCCUAUGACUAACAUCCUCCUCACAUCCCCCAUCUACUUGAAGGACUGAGCCUAGAUAUUUAAAGUGAUUACUUUGGGACAGUACCACCCCAUUCAAACUAACUCCUUCCCUAUCACCAGUUUGGCCUUCACUGAACUUGCAAUGCAUGUAUUCUGUCUUCGUUCUACUUAACUUAAAACCCUUUGACUCUAGAGUACUUCUCCAAAGUUCUAGCUUCCUAUUGACUCCUUCUCGUGUCUCAUCUAUCAGAACAAUAUCAUCCGCAAACAUCAUGCACCAAGGAAUACUCUCUUGUAUAUGUUUCGUCAGUUCAUCUAAAACUAAUGUAAAAAGGUAAGGGCUUAUGGCUGAUCCUUGGUGUAAUCCAAUUGAGAUCGGAAAAUCACUUGUGUCCCCUCCCACUGUGCGCACAAUAGUAGUUGCUCCUUCAUACAUAUCUUUCAAUACUUGUAUGUACCUAACAAAUGCAAAGGCUGCUAAAUGAAUUGGCCAGUAAUGCUUCUAUCCAGAGUAUUCUUUUUCAUUCAUUUUCUUUAAUGCAUUUAAAAAGUUUGAUGUUGAUUCCAUUUGCAGAAGUCAAUAGGGCAGUUAUUAAGAAACCAAGGCAAGAUGCCAUGGGAGCAAUUACUUGUAACUACAUCUUCUUAUAUGCUAAGUGUUGCAAGAAAUUGGUAGUAUGCUAUUUUCUUUAGUUUUAUGUCUCUUUUUUUCCUGCAGGUGAAAUUUUUUCAUACACAUAAGUAACUUGAAUUUCUCAUACAACCACGAUUAAUUUGAUAUUUUCAGGAUGUUAUGAGAAUUUAGAAUUUCCCAACUCGUAGAGAAGUGAGCACAAUGAUCCAAUAUCUUUUGUGUUUGCCUUAUAUGUCGAGAUACAUCCAACAUCUCACCUUCCUUGAAAGUUGAGCAGCAAGUGGUUCUAUGAUCCAGCAUGAUGGAAUGAUGAAGAAGGCUUGUGAUGGCAAGCCCUUAAAGGCUGUACUGGAGAUGUGGAACCAUAUGUUACUUUUCAGUGCUCAAAAUGAUUAGAUGCCUUCAUGAUGGAUGCAAUGCUUUUGCCCAACUUGAGGCAAACGGACAUCAUUUAUUACAAAGAAGUUAGGCAUGUUCUUAUCCUUCAAAUUCAAAGGAGUUUAGAAGGUUAUUUUUUUUAAGGAUAAAUUUCAACAACUGUCUCUGAACUUGUAUAGUUGUAACACUACAGUCCUUUAACCUUAAAAUAUAACAGUAAAAUCUAUCUGACUUUCAAUUACUGAUUUUUUAGUUAGAAACUGAUUUAAAUAGCUCCCGCAUGACACUUAGUCAACAUUUCUUUCUCCUCUCUUAUGCAAAGUGUAAAAUUAUUCUCUUUACGCUUGAAAAAUUAUUCUGUCUAUAGAGAGAAAAAAUGAUUCAAUUUAUAUAUGGCUUGAGAGAGAAAAAAGAAAUAUUGAUUAAGUUCCAUGCUGUAACUGUCCAGGUUAGCGUAUAACUGAAAAAUUGAUAAUUGGAAAUUAGGGAGAUUUUACUGUGCAAAAUUUGAAAGUUGAUGGGGUUUUAUAUUGCAUUUUUUAAGUUGAAAGACUGUAAUGUUACAACUAGAUAAGUUCAGGGACAAUUGUCAAAAUUUAUCAUUUUUUUUAACCAUGUAUAAUAUAUAUGUUCUGUGAUUCUGUCAACUGCCCUGCAUAUGAUAUCACUUAACAAGUAAUAAAAACUAUUCAAGUCCCUUUUUUUUUCCUUCCUCUCUUUGCUAAUGAUGUCAUUAGAUAUUGAAUUAUGCUAAAAGGUUUAUGCAUUUGGUCGUCUUUUCGACUGCUUGUGUACAGAAUCUACGCUACUUGCUGUCUUUGCUUUGGUGUGAAAUACUGGUGGAGAAUCAAAUUUCGCUGUUGAGUUUUCUUCUUAAUCAAGAUAUACUGCAAGAUGUUUUAUGCAGGUUUCUGUGGGCAGAGUGGACUUCUUAUCCCUAUGGAUUAGCUUUUGCCAGGCACAAAGCAAAUGUGUAGUUUACAUCAAAUGUUAUAGAGGGAGUGUUAGAAUAGUAGUGCAGAGAAUACAAGAAAACAGAGAAUUUUGGAGUGGAAGCUUUGAAAUCAUCUCACUUACAAUGCUUACAAAAUGUUUAAAUACAACAAAAAGUAAAAAUCUAUCAACUACUCCAACAGAAAAGGAGGUGCCUUCUGCUACCAAAAUGAUGAGAUCAUCAGGAUGCUGGGAAGUCAUGAGCAUUUUCUCAAUGUAACAAAGACUUCAUCAGAUUGCAGAUAUAUGGUUUCUUGUCUGAUGUAUUAACAAUGGUCAAAUUCUCUCUGUAAUGAUGUAUGCAGGAAGAAACAAUUGGUUCACAUGCUGAAGCAGGAUAUUCCCGGAGUUUCUUGGACCAACAAUGCGAGUUAUUUGAGAAUGUUUUCCUCAAAAUACAGAGCUCAAUUCCACAUUCAAACACCAUUCUGCCUAUGAGAGAUUUACACGGAUGGAAAAUUUCUAAUCAAAGUUUCUUGUUGCCUCAAAGACCUAUACAGGAGCCUCUCAAAUAGCGGGCAUUUCUCAUCAAGCAAAUCUAAUUUAACAAAGUGGUCCACACCCCCCGAAGGUCAACACUUAAAUAGUUGUCCACCACGUUCUUAGGUGGAUGUUCUUGUUGAUGCCCAAUCUUCAAGUUUGUCAAGCUUUUUGUGUUGUAAUCAUAACGAUUUGAUUAUGUUUUUAAUGUAGUUGUUGAGAUUGUGGUCAUAAAUAUUAUCCCUUCAUAUGUUUUCUAUAAUAAUCAAUCACAAACGAUUUUUACUCCUAA